rnacentral:tRNA from 1 species
ACCUGGUUGGCUCAGUCGGCUGAGCAUCUGCCUUUGACUCAGGUCAUGAUCCCAGGGGCCUGGGAUUGAAUCCCGCAUCAGGUU